UUUUGACCAUAUCACUCAGUUGAGAAUGCCACAGACAAGGUGUGAAGGAGACAGACAUGAUAGAAGAUAGAAGAGACAAGUGAUGACAUCAGUGCAGGCAGACAGUGAGUCAAUCACCACAAAGGAGAAUGUUCUCUACGGACAACAAAGCCUCAUGUCUGCCGACCAUCUCAAUGCCCGAGCCAGAACUGAACACUCAUUGCCAUUCAGCUCAAUUGUCUCCUGCAAGUGGAGGAACAAAAAAAGGACUUACGAAGUUUGGGAAGAAGAAGCCCGAGAACUAUGAUAUUUUAUUCUGAAACAGAGAACAGACACCUGAGAACCCUGAGCCAACGACAUAUGCGUGAUUAGAUUCACGUCUGCCAUGUGCUCUGAAUAGCGUUCUUAACAUACUGGCUUUUUUCAUAUUGUGUUACUGUGUUUUUCAACUGCUCUGUUCCACUCACUUACAUGACCCUUUUUGAUUUCCUGUGUUAUGACAUUUAUACAGUGAUGUUGCAUUAUGUUGAUCAAUAUUGUUUUAUGAUAAAGAAUGGAAACUGUCUGCUUCAGACACACACCAAGACCUACAUUUUAUGCAAUCUUUUUGCUUUGAUAUAAGGAGAACCAGGAUCUGCAUGGCACCAAAGAUCCUUAAAAUACUUGGUAAUAGUAAUUCUCAAAUUCAAUACUGGGACUUUUGGCUAAUUUUGGCCAAGAGCAGGAUUUCCCUGAGGGUCUUAUCAGUUUUUACCUUCUCUUAGGUUCUUUAAAAUAUUUGAGGUGAGGUUUAUCCAGCAAGCGUUGAUAACUCAAUUAUAACUGCAAUUAGAGUUUAAUCCUUACUCCAUUUACCACCAACCAAUGAUAAUGUCUCUGUAUUAAUCUCAGGUGUUAACCUAAAAAGAGGUAACUCUGUAUUCUGAAAAGCCAUGCAACUCUGGAUUAAAAUAAACAAACAUUCAAACAUUAUUAUUCCACACGUUAUUUAUUGAA